GAUGAACGCUAGCGGCAGGCUUAAUACAUGCAAGUCGUGGGGCAGCAUGAGUGUAGCAAUACAUUUGAUGGCGACCGGCAAACGGGUGCGGAACUCGUACAGAACCCUCUUUCAAGCGGGGCAUAGCCCAGAGAAAUUUGGAGUAAUACCCCAUAAUAUAAUACAGAGGCAUCUCUUUGUUAUUAAAGAUUUAUCACUUGAAGAUGGCUGUGCGGCUGAUUAGGUAGUUGGCGGGGUAACGGCCCACCAAGCCUGCGAUCAGUAACUGGUGUGAGAGCACGACCAGUCACACGGGCACUGAGACACGGGCCCGACUCCUACGGGAGGCAGCAGUAAGGAAUAUUGGUCAAUGGACGCAAGUCUGAACCAGCCAUGCCGCGCGGAGGAUGAAGGUCCUCUGGAUUGCAAACUUCUUUUAUAUGGGACGAAAAAACGCUUUUCUAAGUCGUCUGACGGUACCAUAUGAAUAAGCACCGGCUAACUCCGUGCCAGCCGCCGCCGUAAGAC
rnacentral:rRNA from 1 species